GAUGAACGCUGGCGGCGUGCUUAACACAUGCAAGUCGAGCGAGUGAGUUCUUCGGAACGAUCUAGCGGCGGACGGGUGAGUAACACGUGGGCAACCUGCCUCAUAGAGGGGAAUAGCCUCCCGAAAGGGAGAUUAAUACCGCAUAAAAUUAUCGAGUGGCAUCACAUGAUAAUCAAAGGAGUAAUCCGCUAUGAGAUGGGCCCGCGGCGCAUUAGCUAGUUGGUGAGGUAACGGCUCACCAAGGCGACGAUGCGUAGCCGACCUGAGAGGGUGAUCGGCCACAUUGGGACUGAGACACGGCCCAGACUCCUACGGGAGGCAGCAGUGGGGAAUAUUGCACAACGGGGGAAACCCUGAUGCAGCAACGCCGCGUGAGUGAUGAAGGUCUUCGGAUUGUAAAGCUCUGUCUUUGGGGACGAUAAUGACGGUACCCAAGGAGGAAGUCACGGCUAACUACGUGCCAGCAGCCGCCGUAA
rnacentral:rRNA from 1 species